rnacentral:rRNA from 1 species
UACGGGGGGGGGCAAGCGUUGUUCGGAAUUACUGGGCGUAAAGGGUGCGUAGGCGGUGCUCUAAGUCGGAUGUGAAAGCCCCCGGCUCAACUGGGGAGGGUCAUUCGAUACUGAUCGACUUGAAGGCAGGAGAGGGUAGUGGAAUUCCCAGUGUAGCGGUGAAAUGCGUAGAUAUUGGGAGGAACACCAGUGGCGAAGGCGGCUCACUGGACCGGUUCUGACGCUGAGGCGCGAAAGCGUGGGGAGCAAACGGG